AACGAACGCUGGCGGCAUGCCUAACACAUGCAAGUCGAACGAUACCUUCGGGUCGAGUGGCUCACUGGUGCGUAACGCGUGGGAAUCUGCCCUUGGGUUCGGAAUAACAGGUGGGAACGACUGCUAAUACCGGAUGGUUACGUAAGUCCAAAGAUUUAUCGCCGAAGGAUGAGCCCGCGUAGGAUUAGCUAGUUGGUGAGGUAAAGGCUCACCAAGGCGACGAUCCGUAGCUGGUCUGAGAGGAUGAGCAGCCAACCUGGGACUGAGACACGGCCCAGACUCAUACGGGAGGCAGCAGUAGGGAAUAUUGGACAAUGGGCGUAAGCCUAAUCCAGCAAUGCCGUGUGAGUGACGAAGGGCUUAGGGUUGUAAAGCUAUUUUAACCCGGAUGAUAAUGACAGUAACGGGAGGAUGAGCUCCGGCUAACUCCGUG
rnacentral:rRNA from 1 species